CGGCCAAAACUCGGUUUCUCAACGCUCCAGACCAGUACGGCCAAUACCAUGAAAGUUUACCACUUCAAAGAACAGUUGUUGUUCAGGAUCUGACAUUCGAUAAGCUCUCCAGCACUGCAACAAUAUCCCCCAGAUACGUUAUUGUUCAUCAUGUUGAGAUCACCACACCAAAUCGGUCACCAUCACUGCAACCACAACGCCAAUAAAGAUUGUAAAUUUCUGUCUCGUCCAUCGUGAUCAGUAAGAGGAAAGUCAUCGCCAUCAACUUCACCAACACCAGCGGUGCCAAGUCAGACUUGUCCAUCCCUGUUUGAAUUCAUUUUCAUCAACACAAAACCGGUCUUCACCACCUCAACCACGACACCAGUCAACCAUUAUGUUUCUCUUGUUGCAUGUAGCUAUCACCGACAACGUCAACGUCUUCAUCACCUCAACUGACAGAAUAUCGAUCAAGUUUAGUCCAAGUUAUAUUUUGUUUUCAUCAACAGCGGGAAGUCUUCACCACUUCAGUUCUUGAUGCAGGUCAAACUUGGUUUCCCAUCGCUUCAGACCAG
rnacentral:lncRNA from 1 species